rnacentral:tRNA from 1 species
UCAUAAAUGUGAGUUUAUUCUUACAAAUAGUACUAUGCAGCUUAAUGAUUUUAUUUUUGUUAUUUUAGAAA